rnacentral:rRNA from 1 species
UACGUAGGUGGCAAGCGUUAUCCGGAUUUAUUGGGCGUAAAGGGAACGCAGGCGGUCUUUUAAGUCUGAUGUGAAAGCCUUCGGCCUAACCGGAGUAGUGCAUUGGGAACUGGGAGACUUGAGUGCAGAAGAGGAGAGUGGAACUCCAUGUGUAGCGGUGAAAUGCGUAGAUAUAUGGAAGAACACCAGUGGCGAAAGCGGCUCUCUGGUCUGUAACUGACGCUGAGGUUCGAAAGCGUGGGUAGCAAACAGG